rnacentral:sRNA from 1 species
AUGCUGAGCGCCGGUCCCCUGGGCCCACUUUUCUUUCUCUAUACUUUGUCUCUGUUGUCUUUCUUUUCUCAAGUCUCUCGUUCCACCUGAGGAGAAAUGCCCACAGCUGUGGAGGCGCAGGCCACUCCAUCUGGUGCCCAACGUGGAUGCUUUUCUCUAGGGUGAAGGGACUCUCGAGUGUGGUCAUUGAGGACAAGUCAACGAGAGAUUCCCGAGUACGUCUACAGUGAGCCUUGUGGGUGAAGGUACUCUACAGUGUGGUCAUUGAGGACAAGUUGACGAGAGAGUCCCAAGUACGUCCACGGUCAGCCUUGCGGACAUUUAAAGUUCUACAAUGAACUCACUGGAGAUGCAAAGAAAAGUGUGGAGAUGGAGACACCCCAAUCGACUCGCCAGUCUACAGGUGUAUCCAGCAGCUCCAAAGAGACAGCAACCAGCAAGAAUGGGCCAUAGUGACGAUGGUGGUUUUGUCAAAAAGAAAAGGGGGGGAUAUGUAAGGAAAAGAGAGAUCAGACUUUCACUGUGUCUAUGUAGAAAAGGAAGACAUAAGAAACUCCAUUUUGAUCUGUACUAAGAAAAAUUGUUUUGCCUUGAGAUGCUGUUAAUCUGUAACUUUAGCCCCAACCCUGUGCUCACGGAAACAUGUGCUGUAAGGUUUAAGGGAUCUAGGGCUGUGCAGGAUGUACCUUGUUAACAAUAUGUUUGCAGGCAGUAUGUUUGGUAAAAGUCAUCGCCAUUCUCCAUUCUCGAUUAACCAGGGGCUCAAUGCACUGUGGAAAGCCACAGGAACCUCUGCCCAAGAAAGCCUGGCUGUUGUGGGAAGUCAGGGACCCCGAAUGGAGGGACCAGCUGGUGCUGCAUCAGGAAACAUAAAUUGUGAAGAUUUCUUGGACAUUUAUCAGUUUCCAAAAUUAAUACUUUUAUAAUUUCUUACACCUGUCUUACUUUAAUCUCUUAAUCCUGUUAUCUUUGUAAGCUGAGGAUAUACGUCACCUCAGGACCACUAUUGUACAAAUUGAUUGUAAAACAUGUUCACAUGUGUUUGAACAAUAUGAAAUCAGUGCACCUUGAAAAUGAA